UAAAACAACGGGCUAGUUGGC
rnacentral:piRNA from 1 species